GGCCUUACAACAACAGCAACGUACUCCUGUCCCGAUGGUUACGUCGUUACCGGCGAGUCCACGUUAACGUGUGGGGCCGACGGCAACUGGAGCGCAGAAACUUCUGACUGUGUAUGUGAUCCACCUACAGCCGUUGACGGCGGCUCGUUCGAGGUGUCGAGUGACGGCCUAACUGUGACGUUUACGUGCGAGGCGGGGUAUACAAUGGAUUGAGCGUCAGAGAUAGCCUGUGACACGGAGGGCGGGGGUUGGCAGAGUCCGUAUCCGAAGUGUAGCAAAUGUGAAGAUCUGGCGGCCCCUGCAUCCGGAAGUCUCAAGCUGAGUCCAGAUGGCACCGAGACGACCGCCAGAUUCCUGUGUGCUGUCGGGUACUCCCUUUCCGGUGCGUGGACGACCACUUGCCAGCCAGACGGGA